rnacentral:rRNA from 1 species
ACUUGAAUUGAAGAGUUUGAUCAUGGCUCAGAUUGAACGCUGGCGGCAGGCUUAACACAUGCAAGUCGAACGGUAGCAGGAGAAAGCUUGCUUUCUUGCUGACGAGUGGCGGACGGGUGAGUAAUGCUUGGGAAUCUGGCCUAUGGAGGGGGAUAACGACGGGAAACUGUCGCUAAUACCGCGUAUUAUCGGAAGAUGAAAGUGCGGGACUGAGAGGCCGCAUGCCAUAGGAUGAGCCCAAGUGGGAUUAGGUAGUUGGUGGGGUAAAGGCCUACCAAGCCUGCGAUCUCUAGCUGGUCUGAGAGGAUGACCAGCCACACUGGAACUGAGACACGGUCCAGACUCCUACGGGAGGCAGCAGUGGGGAAUAUUGCGCAAUGGGGGGAACCCUGACGCAGCCAUGCCGCGUGAAUGAAGAAGGCCUUAGGGUUGUAAAGUUCUUUCGGUAUUGAGGAAGGUUGAUGUGUUAAUAGCACAUCAAAUUGGACGUUAAAUACAGAAAAAACACCCGGCUAACUCCGUGCCAACAGCCCGCGGUAAUACCGAAGGGGGCGAGCGGUAAUCGGAAUAACUGGGGCGUAAAGGGCACGCCAAGCGGUUAUUUAAAUGAGGUGUGAAAAGCCCGGGGCUAAACCGGGGAAUUGCCUUUCAAACUGGGAAACUCGAAUAUUUUGGGGAGGGGUGAAUUCCCCGGGUACGGUUAAAUGCGUAAAAAUGGGAAGAAAACCAAAGGCAAAAGGCACCCCUUGGAAUUUUACUGAACCCCUGUUGGAAAAAGGUGGGGAGAAAAAAGAUUAAAUAUCCCGGAUAAUCCACCGCGUAAACCCUGUACUAUGGGGGGGUGGGGGGUUUUUACUUGGCGCCCCAGAAAUAUGGGUAAAAAUACACACCGACCUGGAAGAAAAACGCAGCCACAGAAGAAAAAUUAAUAAGAAAAUUUAUAGAGGGGGCACCCCUCCUAAGUUGAGGGGAGGGAGAGGGGGGGGGGGGUUAUUU